ACGAACGCUGGCGGCGUGCUUAACACCUGCCAGUCGCACGGAAAGGCCCUGCUUGCAGGGUACUCGAGUGGCGAACGGGUGAGUAACACGUGGGUGAUCUGCCCUGCACUUCGGGAUAAGCCUGGGAAACUGGGUCUAAUACCGGAUAGGAGCCAUUUUUAGUGUGAUGGUUGGAAAGUUUUUUCGGUGUAGGAUGAGCUCGCGGCCUAUCAGCUUGUUGGUGGGGUAAUGGCCUACCAAGGCGGCGACGGGUAGCCGGCCUGAGAGGGUGGACGGCCACAUUGGGACUGAGAUACGGCCCAGACUCCUACGGGAGGCAGCGGUGGGGAAUAUUGCACAAUGGGCGCAAGCCUGAUGCAGCGACGCCGCGUGGGGGAUGACGGCCUUCGGGUUGUAAACUCCUUUCGCUAGGGACGAAGCUUUUUGUGACGGUACCUAGAUAAGAAGCACCGGCUAACUACGUG
rnacentral:rRNA from 1 species